rnacentral:rRNA from 1 species
UUUAUACUUUGGCGGCAUUUUAUCUUAUUAGAGGAAUAUGUUCAUUAAUCGAAACCACACGAUAGUUUUUACUUACUAUAAAAUUUUAUAUACCCCCGUCUAAAGAAUUUAUUUAAAAUUUUUAUUCCAAAUUAUAUUAAAAAAAGUUAGGUAAAGGUGUAGACUAUUAGUAAGAUUAAAUGUAUUACAUUAAAAAAAAAUUUAAGGAUAAAACAGUUAACUGUUUAUUAAAAGAGGAUUUAUAAGUAAUUUACUUUUAAUAAAAAUUAAUGAAUAAGAAAAUAAAUGUGCACAUAUCGCCCGUCACUCUCACAUA